AAAACACUGACGCAAAGCGUUUUUACUUGAUUAAAACGGAACACCGUUUUUAGCUUCACUAUUUCUGCCCCUUCAUCCCCAUUUUCCCAUUUUUCAGUUUUAGUUUGUAUUACUCAAUUUUGUGGAUAAAGAGAUUACAAUUCUUCACUUUUAGCUUCAUUGUUCAGUUUAAUUCCUAUAUUUGAUAUAUUUGAGGUACUUGUAUCAUCUGCAUCCAAGUCUUGGUCAUCAUUACAAGCAGGAGUAGUAUAAUAAAAAGGCCCAACGACAAAUUGAGUCGUACCCCUGUAUACAACUGAAGGCUGUCUCAGCUUCACCCCUGUUUUGC